rnacentral:lncRNA from 1 species
GCAUAGGUUGUUAAGCGGGGACAGUCCUGCAUGAAAGCUGAGUGAAAACAAAAACCAGUGACUCCAACAGCCCUUCAGUGUCCCUAAGCCAGGGGUUGGGAACCUCCGGCCUCCGGGCCGUGUGCGGCCCCGAGACCAUUUGAUCCGGCCCUCGAGUAAAAAUGUUGGUCCAGGUGAAGUACAGACAAUGGCAGAAUCGUUGAGAGAUUCUGCCUGCCACCUGAUGCAAAAGUUGUAUACAAGGAUGCAACGGAGACAGAAGUCAAUACAGAAAUAUUCAGAGACCUCAUUGGACGAGGCAACGUGGUGCUGACAGUUUUCUCAGGUGAUUGUAAGAUAAAAAGGCCCGUAUAAUCAAAAACCUCACUGAACAGAAUAAAAUGAUCAAUAUAUUUUCU